UACGAAGGGGGGCUAGCGUUGCUCGGAUUGACUGGGCGUAAAGGGCGCGUAGGCGGUUUGUACAGUCAGACGUGAAAUUCCUGGGCUCAACCUGGGGGCUGCGUUUGAUACGUGCAGACUUGAGUUCGGAAGAGGGUCGUGGAAUUCCCAGUGUAGAGGUGAAAUUCGUAGAUAUUGGGAAGAACACCGGUGGCGAAGGCGGCGACCUGGUCCGAUACUGACGCUGAGGCGCGAAAGCGUGGGGAGCAAACAGG
rnacentral:rRNA from 1 species